rnacentral:rRNA from 1 species
UACGAAGGUCCCUAGCGUUGUUCGGAAUCAUUGGGCGUAAAGCGCAUGUAGGUGGCUUAGCAAGUUGGGUGUGAAAGCCCCGGGCUUAACCCGGGAAGUGCACUCAAAACUGCCUAGCUUGAGUACGGAAGAGGUAAGUGGAAUUCCUGGUGUAGUGGUGAAAUACGUAGAUAUCAGGAGGAACAUCAGCGGCGAAGGCGGCUUACUGGUCCAGUACUGACACUGAGAUGCGAAAGCAUGGGGAUCAAACAGG